GAUGAACGCUGGCGGCGUGCCUAAUACAUGCAAGUCGAGCGAACGGACGAGAAGCUUGCUUCUCUGAUGUUAGCGGCGGACGGGUGAGUAACACGUGGAUAACCUACCUAUAAGACUGGGAUAACUUCGGGAAACCGGAGCUAAUACCGGAUAAUAUUUUGAACGGCUGGGUUCAAAAGGGAAAGACGGCUUUGCGGUCACUUUUAGAGGGAUCCGCGCUGCAUUGGUUGGUUGGUAAGGUAACGGCUUACCAAGGCAACGAUGCAUAGCCGACCUGAGAGGGUGGUCGGCCACACUGGAACUGAGACACGGUCCAGACUCCUACGGGAGGCAGCAGUAGGGAAUCUUCCGCAAUGGGCGAAAGCCUGACGGAGCAACGCCGCGUGAGUGAUGAAGGUCUUCGGAUCGUAAAACUCUGUUAUUAGGGAAGAACAUAUGUGUAAGUAACUGUGCACAUCUUGACGGUACCUAAUCAGAAAGCCACGGCUAACUACGUG
rnacentral:rRNA from 1 species